GACGAACGCUGGCGGCGUGCUUAACACAUGCAAGUCGAACGAUGAACCCGGAGCUUGCUCUGGGGGAUUAGUGGCGAACGGGUGAGUAACACGUGAGUAACCUGCCCUGGACUCUGGGAUAAGCGUUGGAAACGACGUCUAAUCCCGGCUAGGACCUUGGACCUAUGGAUCUGGGGGGGAAGGUUUUUUCGGUCUGGGAUGGACUCGCGUCCUAUAGGCUUGUUGGUGAGGUAAUGGCGCACCAAGGCGUCGACGGUUAGCCGGCCGGAGAGGGUGACCGGCCACACUGGGAAUGAGACACGGCCCAGACUCCUACGGGAGGCAGCAGUGGGGAAUAUUGCACAAUGGGCGAAAGCCUGAUGCAGCAACGCCGCGUGCGGGAUGACGGCCUUCGGGUUGUAAACCGCUUUUAGUAGGGAAGAAGGGCUUCGGCUUGACGGUACCUGCAGAAAAAGGACCGGCUAACUACGUG
rnacentral:rRNA from 1 species